AAUCUAAUGUUCUCGUUUAAAACCCAACAGAACACUGAUUCGGUAUUUCGUUAUGUUGACCAUUCUCAAGACUGAAAAAAGAAACAGAAAAGGAAAAAAAGAGAGAGAUCGAGAACGGUCUCUUUGCCGACAAAAGAUGAGACGAAGAAAAAUCGGUGUUCGAUGGUGAAAAACAAAGGUGUACGACUCUAUAUGAGUAAAUACGAAAUCAGAAUCUCGAAAUCUGCCGGUAUACCAUCAUUUACUCUCUCAUUAUCUUACGAUUCAUCUACUUGAUCUGAGAAGCCUCUUUAUAGAUAUGUUCAGAAGUAUCAGAUGACUUGUAUGUUGAUUCUGAUGAUCGAUCUUAGUCAAGCGGAUCUUCGAUUAGCACUGAAUUUGACCAUUCCCUAUUGGGGUCGGAAACACCUAAGCAAUCUCGAGCUUCUCAGAUGUCAAGCUCGUGAUGUCCAUCGGCUUGCUCAAAAUCUGAAGGGCGAUGUUCAUUUCUUUGACAACCAUGAAGUUGGCCUAAUGAAAUUUUGGGUUACUAUAUAAAAUUUGGGGUUACGUUAAAGUGAGGGCUUAUCAAAGGUCUUAUACUUUGCAAAAUGAUGAUCCGGUCUGUUUGCAAAAAAAAAAAGGAUGACUGAUUAAAAUACACAGAUACGUACCUUACUCAAGCAAUAUAGAAUUUUUAUGUCACAUAAUAAAUAAUUCAAGUACGUACACUUUUUGGUUUGUUCUGACGUUAAUGUUUUAAGUUUUGUAGGGUAAUUGCUAUGUAAACAAAGAGAUAAUUCUCAAGUACAUCAACUAAUGGCCAGACCAUUUUGUAAUCUGACCAAACUGGUAUAAUCUAUUUAUCUUCAUCCUCUUUUACGUCUAGUAUGUUUUUUUAAUCUUCAUCCUCUUAUACGUCUGGUCUGUACACAACAGUAUGUUGUUUUUAUACUCAUCCUCUGAUGGAAGGACAUGAGUCAAGUCGAACCCAAAGGACAUGAGGCAAAGUCCAACCAAAGCCUUACAGUACACAGAUAAGUCUCCGACUAUAGCUUUUUUUUGGGGUUAGAGAUAAUGAGUUGACUUAAUUAUAUAUACAAUGGAUGUGCAGGUCGUGCAGUUAAAGGUUUUGAGACAGAGCUUUAUUCAUCUGAACGACAUGGGACAGAGACAUAGCGGGAAAGCAAUUCGAACCCAUGUAAGUGCAUUUUAAAAGCUUCUAAUUGUAGUAAUUAGGCUUGGAACUGAAACUGGUAGUUAGGAAAAAAAAAACGGAGAUUGUUUGAUGAAUGUUCAUUGAACUAUAUUUGAAAAACAAGUAGAAAGUUAGGAUUGCUUACAUUCUCAUCCGCCAAGAUGAAUUCCAUGGUUUUCCCUGAUUGUUGAAUGUUUUGUUUCCAAGAAGUGUUUUUCGAUGGCCUCAAGUCAUUAAUGCCGAUGACUUUUGUUCAUUAGAAGCACUCAAUUUUCUUAUUUGCAUUUUAGAACCCAUUUUUUUGUUUGACGGCAUGAGUUUGAUUAGGAAGAGGCGUUGUUAUUUAUAAUAGGAAGAGGCGACAUGGAGAGGUGUUUAGGUUAUUGGAAAAACAUGUGGCAUACUCUAAAUCUUGGCGAGAUUUUCUAGUUAAUAUUAGUAAAUAUAGUUACCAAUUUGAAACCUAAGAUAUUAUUGUACACGCAAUAUAAUUAUGGAUUAUAUUUUUUGAAUCGUGAUUAUAGCUAAUUGUAUCAUCUUUUUUUCUUUCUAUAUUUGUUUUUACAUUUAUUAAAGGUAUCAAAUAAGGAAUAUUGGGGGUGAUUGCCAAAAUCUAUGAGUACCUUACUCUUUUAAAAUCGAACAAAUGAAAUAGGGAAUAUUAUGCUGUUACAAUUAUGAAUACUUGCUACAAUCUAGGAGGGCAUACUCUUUUUUUCUUUUUCUUUUUGGUAAAAAGGGCCUUACUCUUUUUAAACCGAACACUGAAAUUAGGGGAUGGGUUGAAAAAUAUACUUCGAAUAAAUUUGGUAUCAAAACUUUAUAAAAAUUAAAGGUUGUUUAAAAGAUAAAUAGAUUUUUUAAUUAACAUUUUUUGAAAAAUUGGGAAUAUGCUGUAGUACCUUUGAUUCAAAUUCGAUUUUCAUAUUUUUGGUUUGAUUAAAUUUUCCAUCAUUAUACAUUGCAUUUUGAUAAACGAAUCAUAACAUAUAGGUAGGUGUAAUGAAUCAUCUUAAUAAGCAUGUGAACAUUGAUUUAAUUUUCUGAGAAUCCAUACGUUAUAUUCAUCUUGGUUAGUGUUUUAUAGUUUUAAAUUAUUGUGUUAUGGAAUAUGGUUUGUUUAGAGUUUUAAC